rnacentral:rRNA from 1 species
CGGGACGGGUGAGUAAUGUCUGGGAAACUGCCCGAUGGAGGGGGGUAACUACUGGAAACGGUAGCUAAUACCGCAUAAUGUCUACGGACCAAAGCGGGGGACCUCCGGGCCUCGCGCCAUCAGAUGAACCCAUAUGGGAUUAGCUAGUAGGUGAGGUAACGGCUUACCUAGGCGACGAUCCCUAGCUGGUCUGAGAGGAUGAUCAGCCACACUGGGACUGAGACACGGCCCAG